UCCAUGGUGGUCCAGUGUUUAGGACUCUGCGUUUCUACUACUGGGGGCCUGGGUUCAAUCCCUGGUCAGGGAA
rnacentral:tRNA from 1 species